AUGGUCUUCAAGCUGGAUUUCAGAAAGGCUUUCGACUCUGUGGCAUGGCCUGCCCUCGAUAAAAUCCUGGCAAUUCGUGGGUUCUCUCCAAUCUUUCGUAGCUGGAUCCAAAAUCUUCUCCACACAGGCAAAACGGUUGUACUUCUGAACGAGAUCCCGGGCAAAUGGAUCCAAUGCAAAAAUGGGUUGAGACAAGAAGACCCGGCCUCUCCCUACCUCUUCCUCAUCGUCGCCGACCUUCUACAACAGCUCAUCCUCCAGAACUCCGAUACUACUCUCCACCACCCCAUCUUCUCCCACCUGCCUCCCACUGUCCUCCAAUACGCUGAUGACACACUCAUCAUUGCAGCCGCCUCUCCUGCCGCUGCUUCAACCCUUAAAGCAAUCCUAAAUAGUUUCGCACAAGCCACGGGCCUCGCCAUCAACUUCUCCAAAACCACCUUAGCCACCCUCCACACAGACGAAGCCACGACUGCCUCCAUCGCCCUUGCCAUGGGGUGCUCAUGCGCUUCCUUCCCGCAAACCUACCUCGGUCCACUAGUAGAAAAAGGGCCAUUCGAACCGGUCCGUGAGGGCCAUUUGUCACGGUUCAUGAACCGGGACUAA
rnacentral:rRNA from 1 species